rnacentral:rRNA from 1 species
AGUGAACGCUGGCGGUAGGCCUAACACAUGCAAGUCGAACGGCAGCACAGUAAGCGCUUGCUCUUACGGGUGGCGAGUGGCGGACGGGUGAGGCAUACAUAGGAAUCUACUUUUUCGUGGGGGAUAACGUAGGGAAACUUACGCUAAUACCGAAUACGACCUACGGGUGAAAUCAGGGGAUCUUCGGACCUUGCGCGUUUGAAUGAGCCGAUGUCGGAUUAGCUAGUUGGCGGGGUAAAGGCACACCAAGGCGACGAUCCGUAGCUGAUCUGAGAGGAUGAUCAGCCACACUGGAACUGAGACACGGUCCAGACUCCUACGGGAGGCAGCAGUAGGGAAUAUUGGACAAUGGGCGCAAGCCUGAUCCAGCCAUACCGCGUGGGCGAAGAAGGCCUUCGGGUUGUAAAGCCCUUUUGUUGGGAAAGAAAAGCAGCAGGUUAAUACCCCGCUGUUCUGACGGUACCCAAAGAAUAAGCACCGGCUAACUUCGUG